ACCGGGCGUCGUGGCGGGCGUCUGUGAGCCAGCUUCUUGGCGGUAGAUAAGUGUGGAUGGAGUGAGGGGAGGAGUCCUGUAUGUGUCGCUUACAACGUCGACCGAGCGUCCGUGCCAAGCGCUGCGUCGCCAGGGGUCAUCCGGCGGAGGCUGGGCGGUCCCGGGCGCUUAAGGAGUGGUGUAUGGCUCAGGGCCGUGAGGCAGCAGGCAAAAGCUACCGCGCGGUGCAGUGGCCGGAUCGCGCUUGUGAGUUGUUACGCACAUACAGCCUUCCCGAUACCUUCAGACCGCUUGUCGU
rfam:Caenorhabditis japonica strain DF5081 Contig18179.18, whole genome shotgun sequence.